rnacentral:rRNA from 1 species
CCCUGCCAUUUGUACACACCGCCCGUCGCUACUACCGAUUGAAUGGCUCAGUGAGGCCUUCGGACUGGCUUGGGGAGGUUGGCAACGACCACCCUAAGCCGGAAAGUUCGUCAAACUCGGUCAUUUAGAGGAAGUAAAAGUCGUAACAAG